rnacentral:tRNA from 1 species
GUUUUAAUAAUUUAAAAAAAAUACUGAUCUUGUAAAUCAAAAUUGGGCCCCCCCCCUUAAAACA